rnacentral:rRNA from 1 species
UACGUAGGGGGCAAGCGUUGUCCGGAUUUAUUGGGCGUAAAGAGCGUGUAGGCGGCCAGAUAGGUCCGUUGUGAAAACUCGAGGCUCAACCUCGAGACGCCGAUGGAAACCAUUUGGCUAGAGUCCGGAAGAGGAGAGUGGAAUUCCUGGUGUAGCGGUGAAAUGCGCAGAUAUCAGGAAGAACACCCGUGGCUAAGGCGGCUCUCUAGUACGGUACUGACGCUGAGACGCGAAAGCGUGGGGAGCGAACAGGAUUG